rnacentral:rRNA from 1 species
CCUACGGGUGGCAGCAGUGAGGAAUAUUGGUCAAUGGGCGAGAGCCUGAACCAGCCAAGUCGCGUGAGGGAGGACGGCCCUACGGGUUGUAAACCUCUUUUGCCGGGGGACAAACGGCGGCACGCGUGCCGUCCUGAGGGUACCAGGAGAAAAAGCAUCGGCGAACUCCGUGCCAGCAGCCGCGGUAAUACGGAAGGCCCGAGCGUUAUCCGGAUUCAUUGGGCUUAAAGGGAGCGUAGGCGGGCGUUCAAGUCAGCUGCAAAAUCGCGCGGCUCAACCGCGCCCCGCAGUUGAAACUGGACGCCUUGAGUUCACAACAGACAGGCGGAAUUCGUGGUGUAGCGGUGAAAUGCAUAGAUAUCACGAGGAACCCCGAUUGCGAAGGCAGCCUGCCGGGGUGCGACUGACGCUGAGGCUCGAAGGUGCGGGUAUCAAACAGGAUUAGAUACCCGAGUAGUC